CCGCGAGAGGCAGGCUUCCCCGCUCAUAACAGAGCCCGCCUGCGUCUCCAGCAGGUGGAAGGAGCACAGGUCAGCAACCGACUGCCAU
rnacentral:SRP_RNA from 16 species